GAUGAACGCUGGCGGCGUGCCUAAUACAUGCAAGUCGAGCGAAUGGAUUAAGAGCUUGCUCUUAUGAAGUUAGCGGCGGACGGGUGAGUAACACGUGGGUAACCUGCCCAUAAGACUGGGAUAACUCCGGGAAACCGGGGCUAAUACCGGAUAACAUUUUGAACCGCAUGGUUCGAAAUUGAAAGGCGGCUUCGGCUGUCAUUUAUGGAUGGACCCGCGUCGCAUUAGCUAGUUGGUGAGGUAACGGCUCACCAAGGCAACGAUGCGUAGCCGAACUGAGAGGGUGAUCGGCCACACUGGGACUGAGACACGGCCCAGACUACUACGGGAGGCAGCAGUAGGGAAUCUUCCGCAAUGGACGAAAGUCUGACGGAGCAACGCCGCGUGAGUGAUGAAGGCUUUCGGGUCGUAAAACUCUGUUGUUAGGGAAGAACAAGUGCUAGUUGAAUAAGCUGGCACCUUGACGGUACCUAACCAGAAAGCCACGGCUAACUACGUGCCAGCAGCCGCAGUAA
rnacentral:rRNA from 1 species